rnacentral:lncRNA from 1 species
UCCUAUAAUGAUUUCUGCAAAAUUCAGUUGAUUGUGCAAGGGUUGUAUAGCCAGCUGAGGUCGUUAAAAACUCUCUUUUGUUGUUGCAGAUAGAUCUUGACCUGAUAAACAAUUUUACCACAUGUCAGAUUUGCUCUAAAUGCUUUGGUUUUUGAGUGAUAAGCCAAAAACUGCAUUUUACCCCUAUGUUCUAUUUUUAGCCAUGC